UUUGAGCCCUUGGACGGCGAUGUGGCCGCCUCCGGUUUGGAUGAGGCUUGCUCCAACCGCUCCUGCCAGGAUGAGCAAGAGGCAGAUGAGGACGUGUAUUGCCGAUCGGGAUCGUCGCAGCCCGGUUGCUGAGUGCAUCAGUGCUCCUUGUCAUUGGCUCCCAUGGGGAUGGAUUUCAUGGGGACGCCAGUGCCGCAAGGGGCACCGUCGUCAACUGGAGCAAUGUUAGUAUUUUUUCUGCCAAUGUCGAGGGCGUAUAUUAAUUUUCACAAGUUACGUUUCACGAUGCUAAUGGGUUAACGAAGGGGUCAUCAUUAUUGCGGUGGGGGUUAGCCCGGCGGCUGGAGCCGCGGGUGUCUUGCCGGUUGCCGUCGUCAGGCGAACCGCGCUUCCGAUGCUUGUCGGAUUCAUCGUCAUGAUGACCUCGAGCCUGAUCCUUAUUUGAUGCCCGGGUAAUAUCUACGGCUGCCACAGUGGUUGCUGUGAGUUUUUACCAUGGAGGAGGCGAAGAUGGCUGAGUCCAAGGGCUCGGCACAUGGCAGCUUAUAUACCCGGUUGGGAGAGCUACAAGCGAUGACGCCGACCGAUGCAGUCAUUGCUCAGUACUGUGAAGAUUCUUUUCCUCAUGUGGCCUUGGAGAACUUGGACGAGAUCAGUGCUGCGACGGGGACCUCGACGGCGUCGGUGACGCGCUUUGUGCGCAAGCUGGGCUAUGCCAGCUUCCGUGACUUUUCGCGGAGCCUUCGUGAGGAGGUCGCCGCUAACUUUGACCUUCCUAGUGAUCGCACCACCAAUGACCCCACGACUGAUGAACCGGGAGCCAUGUGGCGUUCCAAGAUGGAAGCUGCCCGACGCAGCAUUGAUAUUGGUCUGAACUCUUUGGAUGGCGAAACAUUCGACCGAGUUGUUGAGUUGCUGCGCGACGAUUCCCGUCCGCUCUGCCUUGUCGCUGCUGCUACUGGGCAUGCUCUGCUUGACUAUUUCCGGUUAUUGGUGCGCUAUUACCGGCGUGACGUCAUCUUGUUGGAUUCGACUGAUCGGAUGGCCCAUCAGCUCAUUGACCUUCCCGACAACGCUAUCUUGUUGGCAUCUGUGUUCGACCGGCAUUCCCGGAUGGUUGAGUCGGUCUUGCGGCUCUUUCAUCAGCGCAACAUGACGACGGUGCUUCUGACGAACCGUUCUUCCACUCCGAUGCGUAGGUACGCUGACCACGUCUUGUUGGUGCCUUCGGAGUCUUCGACGGCGUUUCGGUCGAGGGCCUGCUAUCUCAUCUUGUUGGAAUCAUUGGUGGCUGCUUUAGCCCCGGCGGAUCACGAGGUCGAGCGUUUCCGGGUUGAGACGAUGCAGGGGCUGUUUGACGAACUCGGGGUUUUUAUUAUUCCGUGAUGUGUUCCGGUAUGUGGCCGGAUAUUCCUAUCGCAGAUCGCAGGUUCGGUCCUGCUCUGUCGACGGCUGCCAGGAUGCGGGGGAUGGCAUUCCUUCUCGGUGAGGCCGUCGCGGGAGCGCUCGAGGUCGGCUGCUAAGCGGGUGAACCUCAUGCCGAGGGUGGCGGCUCCGUAGUGGACCCACUGGCGGAUGUCGUCAUCGACACGGUGUCGGUGGCUUUGGCCUGGCCGGUGAUCUGGGCACCGGUUCCGGCCGGGAUCAUCCCGAUGGCACUCUGGGCUCGCGCCAGGGCAGCCUCAACAUCGAACCAGCUUUGAACCGUCGAUCGUUCCGACCAGAUCUGGUCCAUCUGCUUUGUGACGUAGCCGCGAUGGGUGAUCUGGUUGUCGAAGGAUCCGAACGCCAUUGUCUGUCACCUUUUAUAGCUGACUAUUUGUGUCAGUAAUUUUACAUCCCCGGGUGGGGUGCUUACCGGAGAGGCUUAACCUUUCCUGUGAAGAGGGUGUAUAGUGUUCGCCGUUAGCCCAAAAAGUGGGUUGAUGCCUAGGUGGUGUGGGGAAGUCGGUGAGAAUCCGACGCUGACCCGUAACCGUGACCACCAUUUGUGUGGGAGUCGGGGUACCAGAUCACGUGGGGGUGGUGUGGGGUUCCGUCGCGGGUUACGGGGUCGGCAUCGACGCGUGAACGUCUGUGUUGUCUGUGGAAUCCCCUGUAAGUUCCGACCUGCACGAAUGGAGUAACGAUUUCCCUACUGUCUCCACCAUGAACUCGGUGAAAUUGCAUUACGAGUAAAGAUGCUCGUUACGCGCAGCAGGACGGAGAGACCCCGGGACCUUUACUAUAGUUUGGUAUUGGUGAUUGGGACGGUUUGUGUAGGAUAGGUGGGAGACGUUGAUGCGGCCACGCUAGUGGUGGUGGAGUCGUUGGUGAAAUACCACUCUGAUUGUUCUGGUUAUCUCACUGUGGACCGUGAUCCGGUUCAAGGACAGUGCCUGAUGGGUAGUUUGACUGGGGCGGUCGCCUCCUAAAGGGUAACGGAGGCGCCCAAAGGUUCCCUCAGCCUGGUUGGUAAUCAGGUGGUGAGUGUAAGUGCACAAGGGGGCUUGACUGUGAGACUGACAGGUCGAGCAGGGACGAAAGUCGGGACUAGUGAUCUGACGGUGGCUUGUGGAUGCGCCGUCACUCAACGGAUAAAAGGUACCCCGGGGAUAACAGGCUGAUCUUGCCCGAGCGCUCAUAGCGACGGCAUGGUUUGGCACCUCGAUGUCGGCUCGUCGCAUCCUGGGGCUGGAGUCGGUCCCAAGGGUUGGGCUGUUCGCCCAUUAAAGCGGCACGCGAGCUGGGUUCAGAACGUCGUGAGACAGUUCGGUCCCUAUCCGCUGCGCGCGGAGGAAUCUUGAGAAGGGCUGUCUUUAGUACGAGAGGACCGAGACGGACUGACCUCUGGUGUGCCAGUUGUUCUGCCAAGAGCAUGGCUGGUUGGCUACGUCGGGUUGUGAUAACCGCUGAAAGCAUCUAAGCGGGAAGCACGCUUCAAGAUAAGGGUUCCCACAGGAGUGUUCCUGGUAAGGUCCCCGAGAGAUGAUCGGGUUGAUAGGCCAGACGUGGACGCAUCGUAAGGUGUGGAGCUGACUGGUACUAAUAGACCGAGGACUUUCAUUA
rnacentral:rRNA from 1 species